GGGCCCGCACAAGCGGAGGAACAUGUGGUUUAAUUCGAUGAUACGCGAGGAACCUUACCUGGGUUUAAAUGGGGAGUGACAGGUGUCGAAAGAUGCUUUUCCUUCGGGACACUCUUCAAGGUGCUGCAUGGUUGUCGUCAGCUCGUGCCGUGAGGUGUCGGGUUAAGUCCCAUAACGAGCGCAACCCUUGCCGAUAGUUGCCAUCACGUAAAGGUGGGCACUCUAUCGGGACUGCCGGUGUAAACCGUGAGGAAGGUGGGGAUGACGUCAAAUCAGCACGGCCCUUACAUCCAGGGCUACACACGUGUUACAAUGGCCAGUACAGAGGGCCGCUACCCCGCGAGGGGAUGCCAAUCUCGAAAGCUGGUCUCAGUUCGGAUUGAAGUCUGGAACCCGACUUCAUGAAGCCGGAUUCGCUAGUAAUCGCGCAUCAGCCACGGCGCGGUGAAUACGUUCCCGGGCCUU
rnacentral:rRNA from 1 species